rnacentral:rRNA from 1 species
UACGCCCGAUCUCGUCCGAUCUCGGAAGCUAAGCAGGGUCGGGCUUGGUUAGUACUUGGAUGGGAGACCGCCUGGGGAUACCAGGUGCUGUAAGCUU